ACUGCAGUGGCAUGAGGGACAUCGUGUGUCGUGGCUCUGCCAGGGGGACCUGCAGGGCUGUGCUCAGCUUGGCCACAGCAGCUUUGGGUCUCGCUCAUUAAUCACUACUUUGCUUUGGUAACUAAACUUCUGCUGCUUUGUGACGUCAAGCAGCAUUUCUCAUUUCCCAGCCUCACAGAGUUGAUGGGAAUUUAAAAGCUAUAUGCAAAUGAACUUGAUUAGCAUGCUUAAUUAUCUUAUAAACUCAUACCCAUCUGUCCUGCAUAUGCUUUGUACUUGACACUCGAUGGCAAAGUGACCGUGUUGGGCUUGGCACAAGGUGCCUGAGCGAGGGAACCUUUGGGAAGAGCCCGGCUCUGCCUGCAGAGGGGCUGUGGUAGUGCCAGGGGCACACUGGAGGUGAAAUGUCUUUUUUCAAAGGCUGUGUCCAAGCUGGGAGAUGGGAAAUGAUGUGUAGAACAUGUGGCAGAAGGGCACAAUCUUAGGAAUGAUCAAUUAAAUGCAGAAAACCAGCAUGGAAACAAUUGAAAUAAACCCCAAUCUCUGUCCAUUUGCAGCCCAAGAUCCUGGACUGGAUUCUGUGGUGGCACAUGAUGCAUUCCAGAGGGGGGAAGCUGUGCUGCAGUCACAGCACUGGGUGCCUUGAGCUGUCUCAGGGAAUGCUUCUGGCCUUAUUUAAUGUUAUUGAAAAAUUAGCAGAAAAAAUGAGCCUUUACUUCUAGGUUGGUUUGCAAACCCGUGGAUCUGCCUGGGUAAGGGACAAUGCAAACUCCAGACUUCUACCAGAGCCCUCUGAGGGUUUAGAGGUUGUGACAGGGUCUGGGCACAGACUGUCAGCUCUUCUAUACAACAGAAUCAUGUUGGAGCCACCUCUGUCAGUGGACUCUUGGCACAUGGGGUGACCCUUCAGGUGCUGCUGCGUGCACCUCGCUCACCUCAUGGCAUGUGAAAAGCAGUGAUGUUGUGUUGGUUUCUGCUUUUUGGAACCAAGCUGAAGCAGAACAUGAAAUUUUGCCGGCCUGAGGGGGAGAAAGGACCCAGGAUGAGCAGCCCUGGGAACAGCUAUCCUGCCACCACAGCAGUGGUGAGUCUGUGUGUCUGGGCAGUGGGGAGCAGGGAGCACAGUGCAUAGCAAAGUGCUGACGAAGGAUCUCCUUCCCUCCUCUUGCUCUUGCCAGCUCACAUCAAGCCAAAGACACCUUGUUCCUGCAGGGGCUUGGAUAACACACCAGCCUGGGCACCCCUCUGCCUUCCACCCUCUGCAUCCAGCCUCCUGGUCCGAGGCCAACAUCCCUAUCGUGUUACCAGCCCCAUUCCCCUCCUGCGCCGGCAGUCAUGAAGUUUAGGAGAGAGAAUGUUGGAAACUGUGAAGCUGGAGCUCUAAAUAAUUGUAAAUAUGAGCAAACCAGAGAUGUGGCUGCAGGGCAAGUAUUGCCUCUGUGUGCUGUGGUUGUGACCAAACUGGGAAGUUGAAGAGAAAACACAACUUUGCAGCAGAAAAUACAAGGGGAAAGUGCCCCCCUAUGCGGAUCCUGCCUGCAGAGCUGCUGUUGCACAGUUCCUGCCCCAGCACCCAGCACUGAUUCACACCUCAGGAGCCACAGCUGCACCUGUAGGUGCCACUGUGAUCCAGCUGGGCAUGAGCAGCCCUUUUGGGGGCAAGUCCUGCUGGUUCAGCUCCUUGUCUGCCAGGAGCUCCCCCAAACUCUACCUGGUGAACUCAUCUCAUCUCAUCUCAUCUCAUCUCAUCUCGGCUCAGGGGCCAUGGGGAGCCUGUGGAAAAGGGAACAUCCAGGGAACAGAGGAGCUGGUGUGGUACCAGGCUGGUACCUUGACCCAGAGGUCCCCUGAAAUGGUUUUUAGCCCUGAAGGUGCCCAGUUUGCUGGUGGUGGGGUCCUAUAAAGGCUGUCACAGCUGUGCUGGUGUCAAGUGCACCUAGGGGCAAUAGGAAAGGGGAGUCAGAUGUGAUGGGCUGAGCCUCCAGCUGAGGUCUUGUAGCACGUGUCCCUCUCUGCUUCCAGGCCAUGUACCAGGACUCAUCAUUCCCUGCUGACCCCUG